GGUUCCGUAGUGUAGUGGUUAUCACGUUCGCUUCACACGCGAAAGGUCUCCGAAAGGUACAUCGCGUUUGUUCGAUCCCGGACGGAACCA